rnacentral:misc_RNA from 1 species
GAAAUGCGAUAAGUAAUGUGAAUUGCAGAAUUCAGUGAAUCAUCGAAUCUUUGAACGCACAUUGCGCCCGCCAGCACUCUGGCGGGCAUGCCUGUUCGAGCGUCAUUUCAACCCUCAGAACCCCUUGCGGGAUCUGGCGUUGGGGAUUGGCAUCCAGCCAGCCCCGAAAUCUAGUGGCGGUCCCUCCGCGACCUCCCCUGUGCAGUAGCGAUACCUCGCAGCGGGACAGCGGUCUGACCACGCCGUAAAACCCCCAACUUCUCAAGGUUGACCUCGAAUCAGGUAGGAAUACCCGCUGAACAUAAGC